UGCGUUAAUAGUAUAUUUGUGUAGAGUACAUUGUCUUUCCAAGUCAAGGGUCCUAGUAUGUAGGUUAAUGUAG
rnacentral:tRNA from 1 species